rnacentral:rRNA from 1 species
CCUACGGGAGGCAGCAGUGGGGAAUUUUGGACAAUGGGCGCAAGCCUGAUCCAGCCAUGCCGUGUGCGGGAAGAAGGCCUUCGGGUUGUAAACCGCUUUUGUCAGGGAAGAAACGCUCCGGGCUAAUACCCUGGGGUAAUGACGGUACCUGAAGAAUAAGCACCGGCUAACUACGUGCCAGCAGCCGCGGUAAUACGUAGGGUGCAAGCGUUAAUCGGAAUUACUGGGCGUAAAGCGUGCGCAGGCGGUCUUGCAAAGACAGAUGUGAAAUCCCCGGGCUCAACCUGGGAACUGCAUUUGUGACUGCAAGGCUAGAGUACGGUAGAGGGGGAUGGAAUUCCGCGUGUAGCAGUGAAAUGCGUAGAUAUGCGGAGGAACACCGAUGGCGAAGGCAAUCCCCCUGGACCUGUACUGACGCUCAUGCACGAAAAGCGUGGGGAGCAAAACAGGAUUAGAUACCCUGGUAGUCCACGCCCUAAAACGAUGUCAACUGGUUAGUUGGGAAGGUUCCUUCUCAGUAACGUAGCUAACGCGUGAAGUUGACCGCCUGGGAGUACGGCCGCAAGGUUGAAACGUUAAAGAAAGUUAGAACGGNGNGAGAGAGCGAGACGACGACGAGGAGAGGAG